AGGGAAUUUGCUAAAAAUCUCCUUCAAUUAACAAAUAGAAUAUACAUGGGAGAUAAAAAAAAAUAAUAAUAAAUAAGAAAAGAAAUAAAAAGAAAAAGAAAACACCGAAAUCGUAUAAUACAUGCAUGAAGACUUUAACUACAACACAACCGUGUGAAGAACGAAAUCAGCCGUAUCGAUCCGGUCGCCACCGGAUUCCGAUGGCCUAAAAUGGCCCAUUGCCGCCUCAGCGGUGGUGGUGCGGUGGUUAUCAAGAUCACGGCGAGAAGGAGGGUGGUAGUAUUUACGAGCAGUGUGGGGACAAUUAGAGUGAAAUCUCCAAACAAUUCGGACACCGGCAUCUAGAAGCUCCAAAUACUUACCCAUCGCGGCGGCGCGGCCCCAGCCCCUCCCCUACUGGAACCUGCAAAUUAUUCAAAAAUAAAAAAAAAA
rnacentral:lncRNA from 1 species